ACAGGAUUGGUAAUACCUUACUAAAAUGCGUGUAUGAUGCUAGCAGAGUAUUACACAAGAAGAGGAACUGCACUAGAUUGUAAAGACUGGGGUGGACCUCUUUCUUAAUGUCCAGUGUCCUUUGUCUUAAGAUUUGGUGCAAUAUGU